GCGCCUGCCUCCGCGAGGACCAGCCGGGCUCAGGCGGUCUCCUGCUCUCGGCGGGAACGGUGCCCUCCUCGGGAAAGCCCGGCAGCCCAUGGGGUCCCUGCCCCACCCGGGGUCACUCGGAGGCGGCCAGUGACGUCUGGGGUCCGAGCUCGUGGCUCGUCCGGUGACCGAGAGGACAGCCUGAAGCUCCAUGGCAUCCUCUCCUGGGUCCUGCCACACCUGACUGCAUUGGACUGGGUCUUCGACGGGUAUGUGAGACCCACUGAGGGAACACACCCCGUCCCAGCUCAGCACCUGCCCAUCCAGAUGACCCCAGGGUACUGCCUUUCAACCCUGGGGGUGCCUUUAUCCAACUCCUCAUGUGGUCCCAACCACCCAGGGAGCUUAAAACCUGGAGAGGUGCUUGUGGCUAGGGCAGGGGGUUGCAUGGAGAAGCUUUGGGGGAACCCAGGUGGCCAUGCACUGGACACAGCAGUAGAGGGCCCCCUGUGCACCGAGCUCCCCACUGCAUGCAGCCCUCCACAGCUUUCUAGAACAUUCCAGAGAAGCUUCCAGGCCUCUCAGCCUCAAUCCCCAAACUGUUCACAGCAACCGCAGGGUCAUUCAUCCCUAGAGACGAGGCCAGAGAAGGAGACAGAGUAAACUUAGGAUGGGCCCAUGUCCAGUGGGCUGGGCAACUUGAGGGGUCCUAUAGGGUGCUGGUAACCUUAGACGUCUGGACUUUUCCUAAACUAUGAUGGUCCUUGCCGGGGAAGGGGCGGGGACCUAAGAAGACCUGCAAUGUGCUCAAAAGGAAAAUAGGGCAUUUUCCCAUUUUUCCUGAGAGGGGAGCUCACCCCAGCCCUGGGAACCGGAGUGGCUGAGGGGUGCUCACUGUGUGCUCCUGGGGUGUUCUGUAAGCUCUUAUGGGGUAUUCCCUCUCCAUCCUGUGAUGUGAGCCAGCGCCACGUAACUUCACUGGCGAGGAAACAGAUGGCGUGACCAACUGGGUGCAGUGUGACUGGAAAUCAAAGCCAGACUAGAGCACAGACUCACACUCACGCUUCUGCACCAGGCCCACCACACGCAGGGGCUCUUGUGGAAGGAAGAUGAGCCCACGUGCCAGUCUCUGCCAAGUCCACGACAGCUCCCCCCACGCUCGCACGUGUGCAAAUGCUCACAGUCACACACCCUCCCACACACAGCCUUCCCCAGCUGGGUUGGGGAGCCCCCCCGGUGAAGCGGAUGCCCCACAAGCACAUCUCAUUCAAAGACUUUGCAGAGCAGGCCUGCAGGCUCCUGUUGUUCCAGGUGCUUGUUUAGGGCCCCGUUAGGACGGAGGGAGGGAGGGGCACACAGCCCGGUGGGGCAGGGCCCUCCGCACCUCCCGCCAGCUCUUCCUCCUGGAGAAGCACCUGGUGGAGGGCCACCGCUGGUGCAUCCUCAGCGGUGAACCAAGAGCCCGAGCCCUGGGCAGCUUCCAGCAGAGGGGUGGCACUGCCAUCUGCGGGUCGUCGGCACACCCACCAGCCACGACGGUGCCCUCGGUGUGAAAUGAGAUGGGGCCUGAGGCCCGUCUGCACUGCUUUAAGAUGACAGAGAGGCUCUCUUCACCUCUUACAGCUUUGGCAGGACCCCUCCGGCUGCCGAGAAGUAAGCAUGAGGCUGUGGUGGCAUUUUGAGAUACACAGAACAAUGAGGUUGAGUCACCUGUUUGCAGCUCUGUAGCCCCUUUCCUCCCUGGAACUUUGAAGUCGCCGUGAGGCUGCUACACCUGGCCCACGGGUGGGGCCUGGCCCGUCCCACAGAGACACACCUGAAUUCUCACCCAUUUCUCGGUUGUUUGGAAAUUGGCUUGUGAUCUGCUGGCACAAGCCUCUUCUUGGAACACCAAGGACAGCUAUGCAGCGCGAUGUGCCCUGCCGGGGAAAGUGCCCGACGGGGAAAUGAGUGGACAGGAGCCCCAGGAAAGGUCUGCCCUGGAACCCUUCCUGGCAGUCCCAGCCUGUUCCAGCCAGCCCGGACUCACCUUGCUUCGUGACACCUCUCUUUAUUCCAUGGCUGCUGGGACCCAUGGAAGAGAGCUGAGCGAGGCCAAGACUUCCUUCUGUGGACGAAGCCUUCGUUCACCCAUUCGACAGAUGUUUGUUGAGUGCCUCCUUACUCCACGUCCUGUUCUAGGUGCUGGGCAUCAGGAAUGCUGCAGUAUGCCGCAAGGUGGACCUCGCUAUGGAAACAAGAGAGGGGAACAGGAUGGGAACAUGGGUGCUGGGCAUGUUGCGGUUUUCAAUACGCAGAAUAGACUUGAUCCAGAAGGCAGUGUUUGUGCAAAGACCCAUCCACACCAGGGUUAGCUGUGCACACGGAGGCUCUGCAGAACAGGGUCCAAGCAUAGGGAAGAGCUGGGUGAGGUCCUGAUGCAGGUGCUCCAGGGUCAGUUGGGUGGCACGUGGGCCAGCCAGACGGGGCUGGUGCAUGCAGUCUCUCCCUCACGGACCCGGCCCCUGUUGACCAGCAUCAGCACCUCCUGGAACCAAAGCACCAGAUGAGAAUUCAUCCUUAUCCUUUCUACCACUGACUUCUUACCUGGAAUUAUUCUUCUGCUGACCUCCAUUAAAUCCACUUCCCCACUUAAUCUUCUGGUACAUUUGGUCUUUCUUCAUUUUUGUGUGGACCCACAGGAUACCAAACCAAUGGUGGGUUUUACACAAGAAUGUAUUUAAUUUAGUUUUCUUAAAUAAAUGUCACAUCAGUUAUUUAUUUUUUUAAGAAUUUUAUUUUUUAUUUUUUUUAAGAUUUUUUAUUCAUUUAUUUGAGAGAGAGAGAAUGAGAGACAGAGAGCAUGAGAGGGAGGAGGGUCAGAGGGAGAAGCAGACUCCCCGCCGAGCAGGGAGCCCGAUGCGGGACUCGAUCCUGGGACUCCAGGAUCAUGACCUGAGCCGAAGGCAGUCGCUCAACCAACUGAGCCACCCAGGUGCCCCUCAUAUAAGUUAUUUAAAUAGUCAACUGGUAAGUUUAAUACCCUUGCAUAGAAAUAACUGUAGGUAUUGGAAGAAUAAAUAAAGAUCUGAGUCGAACCCCAAUAUGUAAGCAGACAGUUUAGUAGCUCUCUAUUUAGUUGUUUGCACAUUCAUCGGUUGAUCCAUUAUCUUUGUUAAUAUUAAUUGGAUCCAACUGGUUCACUUUCUAAUUCUUGAAGUAAAAUUGGAACUGGUUCAUGGGGUAAUUUCUAACCUACACUGAAGGGUGUGUGUCAUUAAAUUCAGUUAGCACAUCAGAAGACCAUGCCAGAAAACAGAUGAAACCACAGUCUAAUAUUUCAAAAGGAGCCAAAAAGAAACAAAAUGGUAGAAGCUAUGAAAGAACAACACAGUUUAGAAUCAGAACAAUGAGAAGGGAAGGCAUGCAGAAGAUGAAUAUUUGGGAAGUCAGAUGACUGAACUCAGGAAAGAAUUUAAAAUAUUCUUCCACUUUAGAGAACCUGACAAGGAAGAAGCACAAACAGGAGAAGUCACAGCAGAUGCUUCCUUCGGAGACAUGAUUGAAAAUGUGGGGAAGGCAGUGGUAGAACAGUGGGGCAAGCAGGACCUCACACACACCUGACCCCAUGCACACCCGACCCGUGCACACCCGUCCCUGAUGGAGCCGCCACACGUCAGGGCCAGCAGGACCUUGCGCACACCCAACCCUGGCAGAGCCGCGGCAGCUCGACCAGCGAGCCAGAGCACAAAGUGCACUUCCAGAAGACUCUCCUGGAGAAGAGACUUCACUUGAAGGUCCACAUUGAAAGAGGGCAUCAAGCACUGGAAACACAACCCAGAGUGACUGGCACUGAGGCAUUUAACAAAACAGGUGAACUUCACAGAAAAAGAGAAGUGAUUUGGUCAUAAGACAAAAAGACCAAGUCACUUUUAAAGGAAAUAAAAUCAGAGUAUCCUCUUUUUUUUGCCGGAAGAUAGUGGAGUGACAUAUUUAAGAUAAUCAAGGAAAGAGCAUUAUAGGCCAGGGACUUUCUAUCCCGCCAAACUGAACUAAGGUCCACACCAAACCCCUCAGAACUCAGGGACUCCCUGCAGGUGGUCAGCCAAUGUUGCCUUAAGGGCAAGAUGUAACUAUCUUAAGCUCUAUGGGUCAAGAGGCACAUUGAAGAUAUUAUAAAAUGCUUACUUAACCAUUUAAAAUAUAAAAACUGGGGACACCUGGGUGGCUCAGUUGGUUAAGUGUCUGCCUUUGGCUCAGGUCAUGAUCCCGGGGUCCUGGGAUCGAGCCCCUCAUCAGGCUCCCUGCUCAGCGAGGAGUCUGCUUCUCUCCCUCUGUCCCUCCCCCCACUUGUGUUCUCUUUCACUCUGUCAAAAAUAAAUGAAUAAAAUCUUAAAAAAAAAAAAAAAGUAUAGGAUGAGCUGUUAGUUGCCAGUAUUAGCAACAUUUCUGAAACUUCUAAGUUAUACUCUUUCCUUUUUACAUACAUACCAUAAAGUUUACUUUUUUCCUAAUAAAAAGAAACGAUCAGGACACAAAACAGUUUCAUCACUCCAGAAACUUCCUUCGGGCUUCCCUUGUGGGGUCAAACCCGUCUGCCACCCCAAACUCCUCUGUCUCUAAAGUUCUGUCUUUCGUGAAAUGUCACAUACAACGAACCUUUCUGGACUGGCCCCUUUCGCUCAGCGGGUGUGCAGUGUCUUUGGCUUCAUCCAAGUUUUUACCCGUAUGGAUAGUUAGUUCCUUUUGUUACUCAGUAGUAUCCCAUUGUGUGGAUGUGCAGCUUUGUCCGUUCACCUGUUGAGAGAUAUUCAGUUGUUUCCAUUUUUGGGUGAUUAUAAAUAAAGCUGUUAUAAAUAGUUGCAUAUAGAUUUUCCUUGAGAUAAGUUUUCAUUUCUCUAGGGUAA